rnacentral:lncRNA from 1 species
AAUUGUUUCAAUGUUUCUGUUCUCGAUUCCAUGAUGGGCAUAUUGUUUGUCAGGUUGAACCUUGGAGUCAAGUCUCCUUAACUGGAACCUGCACAUUAGUCUCAAGACACUGGCAAUUGUCUUAAAAGAUGGUUGACUCUAAAGCUCAAUGUAAUGUAAGUAACUAAUCCAAUGGAACAAAAAGCCAAAGGUUUUUAGGCACACCUAUUGAGUGAGGUACUCUGCCUUUGAAAACAUAAGGGCUUUUCAAUCUCACUUACUAGCCAAUUACUUUGCUUUUGAAUGAAAGAUGCCAAAAGUUUGCCAAUUCCCUUAUGGUGU